CCUCUUCCCAUUCCGAACAGAGAAGUUAAGCCCGCCAGAGCCGAUGGUACUGCGGUAACACGUGGGAGAGUAGGUCGGUGCCAACC
rnacentral:rRNA from 1 species